UGUCGUGCAUGAUGACUUCGCAAUAAGAGACUGUUACAUCACACGGUCAGGCAUCCUGACCAGAAAGCGCAUCCCUCGGUGCAAAUGCACCUGCAGUAAUUAUUGAUAAGCUAUCCAGGUUUCUCACGAGCCCGCUAAGCUAAAGUUACCUAAAUACUGACACUGCGGAUCUCUAAAUUGUAUAUUUCUAUGCACAGAAUUAACAUGGGAGGGGUGAAGACAAUUUAAUCAACACAUAGGUGUUGCUACAUAGCUACAUGUCCGACUUAGCUAUCAACAAAAUGAUUAGCCAGAUACUGUUGCAUCAGCAGUGUAGCUGGCUAAGUUAAGUAGUCACCGACAGCUUGAGGUUACUACAAACACAAAAAGGAGCUAUGGACAGCACGAGGCAGAUAUACACAAAGACUUUGUCAUUUCAACAGAAACACCGUAGAAAGCACAGUAAAUGUGCUUUACAGCAUUAAACACUGACUCCACUUAAUAGCUUAUGCCUACUGUAGAUUAAAAUGAUCUGUUCCAGGCAACAAUCUCAUGCUGUCGGGUGAGACAUGAAGCUCAGACUAUUUUAGUAAAGUGGGUGUGAAGUGGAAUAACAUUUUCAGCAGCUGCUGGAUUGACUUGCUUAUAAGUAUCUUUAUUGCUAGCCAACUUUGAAUUACUGCAUGUUUUCUAACCUAACCGAACAAGCUAGCUAGCUGGCUAACGUUGCCACAAGCCAUUUCGGUCUUUACUAAAUUGCUCGGCAAAAUAUUGACGUACAACCUAAGAAAACAUCACCCAAAAAUAAAUUUUGUGAUGAUGAUAGGCCUCGCUGUACAACAGCUUCUGAAUGCCAUAAAGAACACACUUGAGGUCAGAUACAUAACCGUUUGCAGACCAGGAGUGUCUGUAUAGCCUCUCCCCACUAACCAUUUGUUUAAUUUAAACAUUGUUCCAUAAUGUUACAAUAUUAGCUAAACCUGUUCACUUUACCAGUAGUGUGCAAACAUUUGGUGGCACAGAAAAAAAAAAAAAGGUUGUGAGAAAAAAAGGUUGUGAGUCUGGUAAAAAUAAAUUAGUGGUAUUGUGUAGGCCAGGGCUUCCAACCCUGUUCCUGGAGAGCUACCGUCCAGUAGGUUUUCAUUACAGCCCUAAUCUAGCGCACCUGACAGGGUUCGCUUAGGAAAAUUUGGCGCUGGACAAAGUGACCGGCAAGAUUUCAAUUUACUGGACAUUUGAGAAACUUACCAGACAUCCAAUGCCUUAGGGCGUCCACACACAGUGCUCAAAGUCACAUUCAGAUUAUUGGAAUUCAUCUUAAUAGAAAUUAGCCUGUAAAGUUUUUUAUAAAGUAUGCCAACAUUACGUGCUUUCAAUAAAACCUAACAUUGUCCGUGGCGUCGUCAUCCCUGCUAUAAAUCAUAAACUAAUAUAAUUUAAAACACUUAGCCUUGAAGAACAAGUUGCCUACACAGUAAUAAAACAAUGUCAAAAUAUAUCUGUAAAAUAUAAUUUCCAAAUGACCUGUCCUAUAGGCUAUUUGUAUGAACAUUUUAAUUAAUAAAUAACAAAACACGUUUUCAAAUACAAUCUAGGCCUCUCCAAUUUCAUUUAGCCUAGGCAUGAACAUUUUAAUUAGGCCUAAUAAAUAACAAAAACAUGGCUCUCUAGUAACACCUGGGCCGACCCGCCCCACUCCCACUGCGAUUCUGCACCACAGCAGUGGAAGGAGGCCACGCCAGACAGUCACAAAAUGAAAAAAAUUAUAAAACUGAUGUUGGACAAACAAAUUCGAUAUGUAAAUAAACAUAAUUUGUUAAGACUGGUUCAUUGAAAGAAAGCUUAUUUUACAAUGCUCAUGUGAAACAAAGACAGAGCCAUGUAUUUAUGAAAGCACUUGUUUCCAAAGCUCAAAUGAUACCUCUUUUUACACUUCUACUGGGUGAUGUAAAAUUUAUUGUAAUUUAAACCAUCGUGGGGUCUUGACUCGUGUCAUGUGUGAUAUAAAUGGCUUACUGAUAACUCUGUUUCCUACUAAAGGCAGUUGGCUGCCUAGUGACUGCAAAACGAACUCACCGAUGUGAAGUUGGCAACGAUGUUUACAAGUUGCACUACUGAAUAAGCGCAACUAAAAUGAACCAAUUGCGCAUGAUACACAUCAUCACUCUACUCAAGCCAUUCCAAAUCUUUAUACAUGACACAGGUGCAGCAUAUGCAGAACAGCUAGGACCAGGCCUGACCAACACAAUCAUUUGCCUCUAAUUUACUUGCGUUUGCGGCGGGCCUUGGCCUGCUCAAAGGUAGUCGCUGCUGUUGGGAAGCUUGCAGCCUUGUUACUAAGUCCUCAAGAAGGCGUGAUCUUGACUGUCUCUGGUGUUUACUCUGUUUUGGAGAAAGAAUCCCCUCUCAGCAGGUACACUGGGAACAGGGAUAAUCAACUAAAUCUUUGCCAAUUUUGGAGCACAACUGGUAUUUCCAUCUCCCAGACAAUUUGGCAGGAAAUUUUAUUUACCAACUUUUCAUUUAAUACUUUUAAAAAAAUGUAUAGGUCAAAAGCAGGCAUUUCCCAGUGAACAGAAACCCUGGCAUCUGAUUUGAAUAAUUAGCUGGUUGAUCAGCUGCAUCAAGUUAGUUACAACUGGGGUUGGAUAGAAAAAAAAAACUACAGGAGAAUAGCUCUCCAGGAACAAGGUUGGGGAGCCUUGGUGUAGGCUAUAGCAAUGUUUUAUCUAGCCGUCUUAUUUUAAUUUGUUCAAUGCCUCAAUUGAUUUCAUAAACUAUAUUGGAUAUAUGCUGUAGGUUCAACCCAAGAUGAACACUGAAGAUGGACCUCAACCUGUUCUCAACCACUACUUUGACCCAUUCUUCCAAGAGCUCACAGAGUUUGAAUGAAGACCUCUGGUGAGGGGUUAGAAGAGCUGACAAAUCCAAACUGAGGAUGAUUGUUCCGGAGCCCCAUGAGGAACACCGGACACUUCGAGGACUUCUCGCUUCUGUCCAAAUGGUCCCGUUGUGGGUUUCACUGCCUCUGCCCCUUACCCCAAAUAGAGUUGCCUCUGAUAGAUCUAGGAUUGUACCCAAUCCCAAUUGUAACUCUGUCUCUCCCUCCACAGCACACCCAAAUAUAAUUUUUAAAUUAGUGUCGUAAUGAUGCUCCUAUUUGGUUAAAUGGGUUAACUGUUGUUACUUCUUUUGCCAAUUCUGUUAAUUUGCUGUUACCAAUUUGAAUAAAUGCAUGUA